UCUGCCCUAUUUCUGCUUCAAAGGAGACCAGAGGUUAAUUGUUGGGAGCUUCCACCAAUGACCAAGCUUGUUUGAGCACAGUGGACGCUGUAUGUGGUGCCCCUACGUCAAGUAACAUCUCCUGCGUGUGUUCUGAGCAGACGAUUGACAGACAAACACCUAUGACAUCACUUCCAGGUUCUGGACUCCUGAACCCACCACUUCUGCCUGCCUCGCUUUAAAAUCAGAGACAUCAUCAACCUCCAGUUGAAGGUGGUCCAGAGUGUGCCUCAUAACUGAUCCUGUCUUCUUAAUCAGCUUGUUGAUUUGGUGGGCUUCUCUUGAAGUGUUGAUACCAGGCCACCACACCACAGCACAGAAAAUCACACUGGCCGUGACAGAGUUAUAGAAGAUGUGAAGGAACGUCACCACCCACAUUUAAGUUACACAAUCCCUUAGAAAAAAAAGCCUGCCAGUCCAACCUGUCAUUGAUGUGGACCCCCAAGUACCUGUAGGAGUGGACCGCCUCUACAUAUUCACUCUCUGAACAGUGACCAGGUGUAGAGGCUCUUUGGAGCGGUGAAAGUCAGUAACCAAUUCUGAUGUUAAGAUGUGGCCACCUGACUCCUAUCCCCUGUCUCUACCACCUCAUCAAUACACCCCAUAAGUGCAGAAUCAUCGGUGAAUGUCUGCCAGUGCCCUGACCUGCUGUUAUAUUUAUGGUCGGAGGUGUACAGAGUGAAAAGAUGCAGGCAAGUCAGAUUUUUCACAGAUAAGGGUGUUGUCACUGCAGGGACCCAGUUAACCCUUUCCCAACAUAGACCUCAACUCAAACCUGGAUUAACUAGGCAGCAGCAUUAAUCACUGUGCCAACAUACCACCUCAAAUAUCACCUGAGUGGCUUAGUAGAUCGAUAAUCCAAGCUAAUCAACUUCCUGUCUAAUUCAGAAAUAAUGGCGAAACGAUUUAUCUGAGGUGCUACUCCUGAACGUAGAAAGGCAGUCGAUUUCAUGACAUCACAACUUCCUCUGAAUUUAAGUGUAUUUAAAAAAACUAAAAAGACUCUCAUAAGGCUUUGACUUUGGUAACAGUCAUUCAUAUACCAUCCUUUUUAAAAAAAAAUUUAAAAAAAUUAAAAAAUUGCAGUACAAGUGCUUGGUGUAGACAAGAGAGGAUGUGGGUAUGGGACAUGCGUGCUCCCCAACUCAAUACCACAGAGAAUUUGUUCCAUUUAAGCACAACCGUCUCAGACCACCACGUGCAUUACGGGAGCAGAUGAACAUCGGUUUCAGUUUGACGUGUGGGUGUGGUAGGAGGCAUAAUUAAAUAAAUUGAAGAUAAAGGGGCUUGCGUGACAUUUUUUGUAGUUUACAACAUUUGUUUAGUGAGUUGAAGCAACCCAGUUAUUCAAAAUGUGAGUGCACGUGCCUUUAUGAGAUGUGAAUUAUGAUGCUAAGCUGUAGGAGUCGAGUUUCAUGCCCUGGUUCACUCUCCAUUCCAAUGAUCAGAAGUACCUUAGUUAUGUCUCUGCAACCCAGCAAAACUGAAGAGUUAGGAACAAUUCAAACACUAAAUAACUUCAAGACAAACAUAUAAUUAUACACAUAAUUGUGCUUAA